rnacentral:lncRNA from 1 species
ACUCAAGUGAUCUCAUUGUACAUGCCGCCAUAUGCUUGCUUGUCCACCUAACUCGCUUAUCAAUAUUUUAGUAAUACCUUGGAUCAAUAGGGCUUUAUUACGGUUGUAAUGGGGCUAAAGGUGAUAGGCUAAUGAAAGAAAGGAUAUGGAAAUCAAAAAUUUUGAGAAAGUACACUUUAGUAGUUUUCCAACACCUCAAUAUCUCACCACCUCAAAUUGAAAGCAAAAUAAUAAACUUCGAGCACCUGUUACUCCCCAAAUUCAACUUCAAAAGGAAAUUUAUACUAUGCAGACACAAUUUCAACAAAUCAACACUCUCCAAUUUUCUUAUAUUUCGUUUUUUUUUUUUAAUUGAAAGAAUUUUCUGCAAAGCUACAUCACCCAUCAAAUUCACAUUUCAUUGUAAUACACAUGCUCCAUCCAUCUUUCUACAUAAAUGAAACCCCCAAAAGCACAACCCAUGUAAUACUUUCUCAAAACAAUAAGGAAUCGAUUUUUGUGUAUGGGUUCAACUCUAAUAUUGGAGCAAGGUAAAGAGAUGUGGCUAACAAAGAAAUGGCUUAGUUAAAGGCUCAAUGGGCUACUACAGAUAAACAUAGCAUAAAAGGUAGGCAUGAAAGGCUCAAACGAUCCAAAGAUGGCCUAUAUCACUUCCAAGUUAUUACAUGAAUUGAUUAAUGAAUCGAGUAGUAUAAAGCAAGUUCUAGAGAUACAUGUACAGUGAGAUCAUACGCAUAAGAAGGAAUGAGAUUGAUGCAUAAUGGUUCAAUCAUGUAUAGGCUCAAAAACUCACAAGGUUUACAUAAU